rnacentral:rRNA from 1 species
GACGAACGCUGGCGGCGUGCCUAACACAUGCAAGUCGAACGGAAAGUCCCGGCCUUUUUGCGGUGCUCUAGUGGCGAACGGGGGAGUUACACGUGGGUAACCUGUCCCUGACCGUGGGGUAUGCUAAGGAAACUGGGUCUAAUACCAGCUAGGAGUUCCUGCCGCUGGGUGGGGGUGGGAAAGAUUCGACGGUUGGGGAUGGACUCGCCGCGUAUGAGCUUGUUGGUUGGGUAGUGGCAUAGCAAGGCCUUGACAGGUAGCAGGCCUGCGCGGGGAACAGGCCACACUAGGACUGAGAUACGGCCCAGACUCCUACCGGAGGCAACAGUGGAGAAUAUAGCACAGUAGGCGGGGGCCAGAUGCGGCACAGCCGCGUGGGGGAUGACAGGCUUCGCUUUGUGUAGCAAUUUUGUCUGUGACGAGACGUUAAUGACGGUACCGGGUGAAUAAGCACCGGCUAACUCCGUG